rnacentral:rRNA from 1 species
AAAGGUACUCAAGGGCACUAAAUGGAUGCCUAGACGUAUAUUACCGAUGAAGGACGUGGAAGACUGCGAUAAGCUUCGGGUAGCUGCCAACAAGCUAUGAUCCGGAGAUUUCCGAAUGGGAAAACCUAGCAUGAGGAAAGUCAUGUUGUCCUGCGCUGAAUACAUAGGCGUAGUGAACGGGAACCAUCUGAACUGAAACAUCUUAGUAGGAUGAGGAAAAGAAAGUAAAUAACGAUUCUCGGAGUAGUGGCGAGCGAAACGGGAAGAGCCCAAACCUUAUAAGUUUUUGCCUGUUCGCAGGCAAAUAAGCUGAUAGGCGAAUGCUUACAAGGGGUUGUGAUAUUACACACGACCAAGCCAGAGAACUUGAAUUCGUUCGAGGUAUCUGGUUUGCGACUACUGGCUAUCAACGGUAGGUGAGGUAAGAAAACAGCGUGGUUAGCAGAAUAGUUUGAAUGGCUAGCCAAAGAACGUGAAAGCCGUGUACGCAAAAACGACGCUGACCUUAUAUGUGUUUUAUCGAGUAGGACGGGGCACGAGAAACCCUGUUUGAAUCUGGCUGGACCACCAGCCAAGGCUAAAUAUAAUAUACGAUCGAUAGUGAACUAGUACAGUGAUGGAAAGGUGAAAAGAACCCCGGGAGGGGAGUGAAAUAGAUCCUGAAAUUUAGUGCCUACAAGGAGUCGGAGCCGGCUUGUCCGGUGACGGCGUGCUUUUUGUAGAACGAUCCAGCGAGUUAAUUUUUACAGCGAGGUUAAGUCAAUUGACGGAGCCACAGUGAAAGCGAGCCUGAAUAGGGCGUUUAGUUGUAAGGAUUAGACCCGAAACCGGGUGACCUAACCAUGAGCAGGUUGAAGCCACUGUAACAGGUGGUGGAGGACCGAACCAGGAUACGCAGCAAAGUGUUUGGAUGACUUGUGGUUAGCGGUGAAAUGCCAAUCGAACUCGGAGAUAGCUGGUUCUCCUCGAAAUAGCUUUAGGGCUAGCGUCAUGUUAGUAAUGUAUGGGGGUAGAGCUCUGUAAAGGAUUGGGGCGGGCAACUGUACCCACCCUUAACAAACUACGAAUACCAUAUAUGUAAUCAUGGCAGUUAGAACAUCGGUGCUAAGAUCGGUGCUCAAAAGGGAAACAGCCCAGACCAUCAUCUAAGGUCCCUAAAUAUACAUUAAGUGGGAAACAAGGUGAAAUUUCUUAAACAGCGAGGAUGUUGGCUUAGAAGCAGCCAUUCAUUUAAAGAGUGCGUAACAGCUCACUCGUCAAGAGAUUUUGCGUGGAAAAUGUAACGGGGCUAAAUGUAUUACCGAAGAUAUGGAUUAUUACAUUAGUAAUAGUGGUAGAGGAGCGUUCCUAUCAGCAGUGAAGCAGUAUUGAAAAGUAUUGUGGAGCGGUAGGAGGUGAGAAUGCUGGAAUGAGUAACCAUAAGAUAGGUGAGAAUCCUAUCGGCCGUAAGAGCAAGGUUUCCUGAGCUAUGGUAAUCAUCUCAGGGUUAGUCGGGCCUAAGCCGAGGCGCAGAGCGUAGGCGAUGGACAUCAGGUUAAUAUUCCUGAACCGGUUAAGUUUUGUACACUGUUCACGGGGAAGUAAUCAAAACGGAUUCAUGGUUUAUCCGUCCAACCGAGCGGGAACGCGAAGGGAGUGAAAGUGAUUCUUCGGAGUCGCGAUUUUGGUGAAAGCCCUGGCUAGAAAAGCAGAUGUACGCGUGGACUUAGCCGCCCGUACCGCAAACCAACACAGGUGCUCGAGUCGAGUAGACUCAGGCUUACGAGCGAACCUUCGCUAAGGAACUCGGCAAUACAGCGACCGUAACUUCGGGAUAAGGUCUGCCCCCACUUCGGUGGAUAUCAGCCGCGUUCACUCAGUGAAUAUGUAAGUUAAAGAGUACAUUUUAAUCACAAAACGAAUUUUCUGAGACACGAGCAAACGAAUUGCUCUUUGAACGCGAAUCUCUGGCAUCUAACGAUGUGGGGGCCGCAGCAAAAGAGCCCACGGAACUGUUUAUCAAAAACACAGGUCUCUGCUAACACGAAAGUGGAUGUAUAGGGGCUGACUCCUGCCCAAUGCUGGAAGGUUAAGGGGAGCGCUUCACGGUGCGAACUGAAGCCCUAGUCAAUGGCGGCGGUAACUAUAACCGUCCUAAGGUAGCGAAAUUCCUUGUCAGGUAAGUUC